rnacentral:rRNA from 1 species
GUUUGUUUGGAGUUAUAAAGAAUUUAACCUGCCCCCUGAUUAAUUAUUUAAAGGGCCGCAGUAUUAUAACUGUGCAAAGGUAGCAUAAUCAUUAGGUUUUUAAUUGAAAUCUCGUAUGAAUGGUUGGACAAAAGAAAAACUCUCUUUAUAUUAAGUUUUGAAUUUAACUUUUAAGUGAAAAGGCUUAAAUGUCCUAAAGGGACGAUAAGACCCUAUAAAACUUUACAUUGUCAUUAAUUUUGAUUGAAUUUAUGAAAUAAGAAUUUUAUUUGGUUAUUUGUUAUGUUGGGGAGAUAUAAGUAAAAUAUUUUUUUAACUGCUUUGAUAGUUAUACAAUUAUAAAUGGUAAGUAGAAGAUCCUUUUUUAAGAUUAAUAGAUUAAGUUACUUUAGGGAUAACAGUGUGAUUUCUUUUGAGAGUUCUUAUCGAAAAAGAAGAUUGCAACCUCGAUGUUGAAUUAAAAUAUCUAUAUAAUGGAGAGGUUAUAUAAGAAGGUCUGUUCGACCUUGAAAUUUUUACAUGAUUUGAGUUCAAACCGGUGUAAG